GGAGGAAAGUAGGGGAUCGCAAGACCUUGCGCUCUUUGAGCGGCCGAUGUCUGAUUAGCUAGUUGGUGAGGUAAAGGCUUACCAAGGCGACGAUCAGUAGCUGGUCUGAGAGGAUGACCAGCCACACUGGGACUGAGACACGGCCCAGACUCCUACGGGAGGCAGCAGUGGGGAAUUUUGGACAAUGGGGGAAACCCUGAUCCAGCCAUGCCGCGUGAGUGAAGAAGGCCUUCGGGUUGUAAAGCUCUUUCAGCCGGAACGAAACGGUCACGGCUAAUACCUGUGAUCACUGACGGUACCGGAAGAAGAAGCACCGGCUAACUACGUGCCAGCAGCCGCGGUAAUACGUAGGGUGCAAGCGUUAAUCGGAAUUACUGGGCGUAAAGCGUGCGCAGGCGGUUUUGUAAGUCAGAUGUGAAAUCCCCGGGCUUAACCUGGGAACUGCGUUUGAAACUACAAAGCUAG
rnacentral:rRNA from 1 species